rnacentral:rRNA from 1 species
AAUACCGCAUGAGCUGGUGAAGAUGGGAAUCUUUAUCAGGAAAGGUUUACUGCUUUGAGAGGGGCCUACGGCCGAUUAGCUAGUUGGUGAGGUAAAGGCUCACCAAGGCGAUGAUCGGUAGCUGGUCUGAGAGGACGAUCAGCCACACGGGAACUGAGACACGGUCCCGACUCCUACGGGGGGCAGCAGUGAGGAAUAUUCGGCAAUGGGGGCAACCCUGACCGAGCAACGCCGCGUGGAGGAUGACGGUUUUUGGAUUGUAAACUCCUUUUCUCAGGGAAGAGUGAGGACGGUACCUGAGGAAUAAGUCACGGCUAACUACGUGCCAGCAGCCGCGGUAAUACGUAGGUGGCAAGCGUUAUCCGGAAUUACUGGGCGUAAAGCGCACGCAGGCGGUUGGAUAAGAUUGACGUGAAAGCUUCUGGCUUAACCGGAAGAAGUCGUUGAUGACUGUCCGACUUGAGACGAGGAGAGGGGUGCAGAAUUCCCGGUGUAGUGGUGGAAUGCGUAGAGAUCGGGAGGAAUACCAGUGGCGAAAGCGGCACCCUGGCCUUAGUCUGACGCUCAGGUGCGAAAGCGUGGGGAGCGAACGGGAUUAGAUACCCCGGUAGUCCACGCCAUAAACGAUGAACACUAGGUGU